AGAUUGAACGCUGGCGGCAUGCCUUACACAUGCAAGUCGAACGGCAGCACGGGAGCAAUCCUGGUGGCGAGUGGCGAACGGGUGAGUAAUACAUCGGAACGUGCCCAAUCGUGGGGGAUAACGCAGCGAAAGCUGUGCUAAUACCGCAUAAGAUCUACGGAUGAAAGCAGGGGAUCGCAAGACCUUGCGCGAAUGGAGCGGCCGAUGGCAGAUUAGGUAGUUGGUGAGGUAAAGGCUCACCAAGCCUUCGAUCUGUAGCUGGUCUGAGAGGACGACCAGCCACACUGGGACUGAGACACGGCCCAGACUCCUACGGGAGGCAGCAGUGGGGAAUUUUGGACAAUGGGCGAAAGCCUGAUCCAGCCAUGCCGCGUGCAGGAUGAAGGCCUUCGGUUGUAAACUGUCUUUUGUACGGAACGAAAAGUCUCUUUACUAAGUAAAGGGAUCGAUGACGUACGUAAGAAUAAGCACCGGACUAACUACGUGUACCG
rnacentral:rRNA from 1 species